UACGAUCACAUCUCAUUGAAAACACCGGUUCCCAUAUGAUCACCUAAGUUAAGCAACGUUGAGCCUAGUCGGUACCUAGUUGGGUGACCGCUUGGGAAUACCAGGUGCUGUUAG